rnacentral:rRNA from 1 species
AUUGAACGCUGGCGGCAGGCCUAACACAUGCAAGUCGAGCGGAUGAAGAGAGCUUGCUCUCUGAUUCAGCGGCGGACGGGUGAGUAAUGCCUAGGAAUCUGCCUGGUAGUGGGGGACAACGUUUCGAAAGGAACGCUAAUACCGCAUACGUCCUACGGGAGAAAGUGGGGGAUCUUCGGACCUCACGCUAUCAGAUGAGCCUAGGUACGAUUAGCUAGCUGGUGAGGUAAUGGCGCACCAAGGCGACGAUCCGUAACUGGUCUGAGAGGAUGAGCAGUCACACUGGAACUGAGACACGGUCCAGACUCCUACGGGAGGCAGCAGUGGGGAAUAUUGGACAAUGGGCGAAAGCCUGAUCCAGCCAUGCCGCGUGUGUGAAGAAGGUCUUCGGAUUGUAAAGCACUUUAAGUUGGGAGGAAGGGCAGUAAGCUAAUACCUUGCUGUUUUGACGUUACCGACAGAAUAAGCACCGGCUAACUCUGUGCCAGCAGCCGCCGUAAUAC